rnacentral:rRNA from 1 species
AACCAACGCUGGCGGCGUGCCUCAGACAUGCAAGUCGAACGCGAAAGUCCCCUUCGGGGGACAAGUAGAGUGGCGCACGGGUGAGUAACACGUAGGUAAUCUGCCUUUGGGUGGGGAAUAACAGCCGGAAACGGCUGCUAAUACCGCAUAAUGCAGCGGCUCGACAUCGAGACAGUUGUUAAAGCGGGGGAUCCUUCGGGACCUCGCGCCUAAAGAGGAGCCUGCGGCGGAUUAGCUAGUUGGUAGGGUAACGGCCUACCAAGGCGACGAUCUGUAGCCGGCCUGAGAGGGCGGUCGGCCACACUGACACUGACAUACGGGUCAGACUCCUACGGGAGGCAGCAGUCGGGAAUUUUGGGCAAUGGGCGAAAGCCUGACCCAGCAACGCCGCGUGAAGGAUGAAAUCCCUCGGGAUGUAAACUUCGCAAGAAUGGGAAGAAUAAGUAGAAGCCAACACCUUCUAUGAUGACGGUACCAUUUGUAAGCUCCGGCUAACUCCGUGCCAGCAGCCG